rnacentral:lncRNA from 1 species
GGCCAGUCGUCAGUCAGUUGGCCAACAAACUGGUAGCGUCUGGUGUGGCGAGCCAACAAAAGGCUGGCAGAGCGGCCAACACCGGACCCGGCCCGAAACUGAAUCCGGGUCCGGGUCUGGGUCCGUGUCCGUGUCCGGGUUGGUUUCGCAGCAUCUACGGCAUCACGGCUGCCAAUUGAGCGGAGUUUGGGUCUCAAUUUGACGCGUAGCCAGCCAAGAAGAGUGGCCGGCCAACAACAAAAACAGGUGACGCAGGAUGUGGCCAACUGAGUAGGGAGAUGGCGGAAGAGCAGGAGGCGCAGGAGGAGGAGGAGGAGGAGGAGGAGGAGGAAACGCAGCACACUUUUUUGGCCACGGUCCGCGUUUGAUUAGCCAACUCAAACAUCAGGGCCAAGAUCAGGGCAAUUGACAGCUCUGCUCCCUCAGUUUCUGCUUCCGCUUGGCACACAGUCACAGAGACACACAUUGCCUUAUGGCCACUGGACGAUGGACCACAGUGGAGCCUGGGCAGUACGCAACACCUGACGCUGCCCGCCAGGAUACUCCCGUUCGUCUCGAUCAUACAGCAAAUAAGAAACAUUAAAUAAACAAUCAAAGAAACGGAGUAUUGCUCCGCAACUGCCAACAACAUUCAACGACAACCAGUUGCUCUGUGGUGCUAGAAAGUGAGUGUAAACAGUGUGUGCCUUUGUGAACUGAACUGACCAACGUGCCAAGAACGAAGGGACGAGGAGGUGGGCACUCUGGCUCGGACCCAAGCGAUUUGGCAGGAGCUGAUUGUUUCAUCUGGCCAGGCUUAAUGAAAUAACUCGUCCUGGCCGCGGCUCCAUGUCAAACGCAGCAGGGCAAUCGCCAGCGAAGCCCCAAAGGAUAAGCAUCGUCCAGAACAUCGGAAUCUCCAGCGAAGGAUGCACCAAAAACAUUAUCCACAGGACUAAGAUGCCAAAGGAAACUUUCAAGAUCCGUUUCCAAAACAAAACAUAAAAUAUAUUCAAUAAAAAUGAAGUGGAAAUGAAAUGAUACAUAAUAAAUACCCUAAUACAUAACAGAAACAAAAGCAAGUCACUAAACUUGACUGCAAAUAUAAUACGAUGACACUUAAUAGAAACAUUGUAAUAAAAUUGAAAAGAAGUAGACAAGAAUAACCACUCAUAAAACUAAAAUACCCAGCCUAUAACUAUUUUUCAAAUAGUUGGCAUAGUGCUUACUAUGAACCAUAAUCGCAUAUGAUAUAACCAAUAUUGAGCACUUAAUAUAGCCCAAUAUUAUAUAGACCCAAAUAUGAAAUAGUCACAAACAAUAGUGCAAUACAAUACGUUUAUAAAACAACGUCAAAAGUUUUAUAACGAAAAUAUAUUUCUUUAUAAUGAGCACUUUCGAACAACUACAUUUAAUAUAAAAUAGCGCGGGAAGUCUUCGGCGUGGUGAAAGUAUAAGGUGUAAGCACAGCUGAGAAGAAAGGAAUUUACAAAAUCGAAGGAAGAAGUGAAAGAAGGAGUGAAAAAACAUCUAAGCGCGGAAAAGUGCUACAAAAUGAUUUUCACUUACAUAAACCACAUCAAAGCCAUCACUCAAUUGCCACUUUCAGUCAUUUCGACCAUGUCCAAGAAUGAAUAAUGGAUGGGGAAAAUAAAGAGAAGCUGACAUCCUAAAGGAAACCUUGUUGGCCAAUUGGGGAGGAGGCCCAGAAGGUCGGGCCGAUUUUCCGCUGCAACCGACGAAGGUCUGACCAACCAAUCGCAACGCACAGCGGCGACGAAGCCCGGCCGAAUGGGAGCAUCUCGGGCAAACGGAGGGACAGUCAGCCGCCCUGCAAUGCAUUUCUUUUGGCAACGAGUCAAGCGGCCUUUCACACACACACACACACACAUUAGGAUUCCAUAAGGAUACUCUGCCUCGCUCACAUGCGCAUCGAGUGGUAUACGUAAUAUAUCAAGUAUACGCCUGUUGGCCGGGCAGAAAGUCUGUGAGUGUGUGCGAAUGGCCAAACAGAGUGUUGCCAACUGCAUUGCCGGGCUGCCAACGACUCAACCCCCGACCCGAGGACACCACCCUCCUCCCGGCCAGGAGGCCAACGACGAGUCCUUUUUGGAGGCAGCGCAUUGGCUGCAGGACGACCGGCGACAGGACGACCAAUCACCAAUCAAAUCGCGGCUUGUGCGCACUAUCACGGCCGUACGAAGGGCCAAAGGCACGGCAUCCAGGACCUCAGCCGGAGACCCCAAGCCGAUUGUCAAUCUCUUAGACAUAUUAUUAUGCCAACGUCUCCUAUAUUAUAGUUCUCUAGUCGUAAGUCACAUGCCCAAGCCAUCGCCCCAGAACAUCGGGGACAUGAAACAUUAGUUUUAUUGAUAGAGUUCUUAGUUUCGAGCAGAAGCUAUACGAUGAUGAUUUCAAGAAUGAGAAAACGGAAUAAAAACUGUAAAGCUUCAGAGCGGAAC